rnacentral:lncRNA from 1 species
GUACGGUUGUUCUUUGGUUCUAUCCUCUCCUUUGCUCUUUCUAAAAUAGAAACUGUGUUCUGGGGAAGUUAUUCCUGAAUAAUGAUCAUCCUCAUCUCUGCUGUUCUGUCAAGAAGAUUGAAACAGUAAAUUACACAUUAUGUGGUAUUACGUUUCCGUAAGGAGGCCAGAUGAGACUGAAUCCACUGGGG